rnacentral:tRNA from 1 species
GCCCUUGAAAGAUAGCAGAAAUCUACUGGUCUUAGGAACCAAAAACCCUUGGUGCAACUCCAAGCAAGGGCC